AGACCCCUUUCCAGCCUACGUCAUCACAGGAUGCGCGCGCAUUGUUGCGGCGGAAGUGCUGAAGAAGUUGCAUGAGUUUGACUAGAGCGAGGGAAGAUUUUUUUCUUAAGUUGCGUUUUUGGAGUUGCAGUAACGUUAUAGAAGAACAACAUGCCCACCAGCUGUUGUGUGUACGGGUGUACAAAUCGAAAUCCCGAGGAACAUAAUUUUUUUGCAAUUCCCAGAGGAAACAGGCCAUUUCAAAAGCACCGACUGGACCGAGGAUCAUCAAGCAUGCCCGCGUUUGCAGUGCUCAUUUCAUAUCUGGUGAGAUGUCACUGGACCACGACAGUCCUGAUUUUGUGCCCUCUAUUUUUUCAUACACUAAACAAAACCAAAACCCUGAUGCAAAGAUCAAAAGGUACCAAAGAAAAAAGAAAUGGAG